rnacentral:rRNA from 1 species
AGUGGCGCACGGGUGAGUAACACGUGACUAACCUACCCUUGAGUGGGGGAUAACCUAGGGAAACCUGGGCUAAUACCGCAUAAUACCUACGGGUCAAAGGAGCAAUUCGCUUAAGGAGGGGGUCGCGGCCGAUUAGUUAGUUGGCGGGGUAAUGGCCCACCAAGACAGUGAUCGGUAUCCGGCCUGAGAGGGCGCACGGACACACUGGAACUGAAACACGGUCCAGACUCCUACGGGAGGCAGCAGUGGGGAAUUUUGCGCAAUGGGGGAAACCCUGACGCAGCAACGCCGCGUGGAGGAUGAAGUCCUUCGGGACGUAAACUCCUUUCGAUCGGGACGAUUAUGACGGUACCGGAAGAAGAAGCCCCGGCUAACUUCGUGCCAGCAGCCGCGGUAAUACGAGGGGGGCGAGCGUUUUCGGAAUUAUUGGGCGUAAAGGGUGCGUAGGCGGUUUGGUAAGUCUUGUGUGAAAUCUCUGGGCUCAACUCAGAGUCUGCACGAGA